GUAAUGCAUUCAAUAACUAUCAUCACUUUGUUUGUUGUUUUUGUAGCCUAUGCUAACUGUGCUGUUAUGGGUCCUGACUUUGUUAACACUGUUCAAGAUAUCAAUGCCUAUACUAUUGGACACAUAUUGGCCGCCAAUGUAUCUACCAAUGAAAAGUCGGGCUCAUUUAGUUGGGAUAAUAAUUGUUGGCAAUGCAGUUGGCCGUGUGAGGGGGCCCGAUGUUGCGAUGGCUAUUACCCCCAGUGCUGUAAAAUC